AUACAACUGACGAGUCCCAAAUAGGACAAAACUCGCGUCCUGGAU
rfam:Schistosoma margrebowiei strain Zambia genome assembly, scaffold: SMRZ_scaffold0000502